CCGCUCUGGGCAACAUGUGCCAGUGCCUCAUCACCCUUAUUCUUUAACUGAAGAAGAAACAAGCAGCUUUGCCUUUCUCCAUGGUUACCUGUGUGACAGACUGGGAGGAUACCUCGCUAAUUAAAUUAGAAUGAGGUUUGGCCAAGUAAUGGGCACUUUCCAGUGGCAACGCAGGAAAAGAAGAUAGAGGCAUUCAUGCUGUUUGAGAUGGACAUCAAAUGAGUUUAAUGCAGAAAAACAGCAAUUCAUGUAUUACCCUCUUUGCUGGGAAACCAAAGUGAGUUCUGCUUCUGAUAAUGGCACCUCCUAGAAAUUGGGCUCAGCUCAUCUGCUCCUUUCAUGUGCACCCCAUGCAGCUCCAGUGAGCUGGGAAUAAUGGCUUUGCCAUUGUGUUUACUACUGUGCCUAGGUAGGAACGAGCUGAAGCCUCAGAAAAUGAAAAGGCUGAUAAACCAUUUGCUAUCCUUUAUUCCACUGAACAAUUUUUUCUUCAUCAUCAUUGUCGUUCUCUUUUCCAAGUCAGACAACACUGCUGAAUGAAAUAGACUUUGGAAACCAAACUCAGGCAUAUGUUGCAAGGGUAGAGGUGGGCUCUGCUGCUGUGGCAGGUGAAAAUUGGUUCUGAAGGUCACUGGAAUUGUCAUACUGAACUGCCUCCUUUCCUUUCUUGUGUUGGUUUUCUUUGGCUUUUUUUCUGUUCCCCUUGGGUUCUGCUUUCCUUUUGUUUUACUUGCUGACUGUCUGCAAUCUGCAGCUGUUUGAAGAGACAGUUAAAAAGGGAAACACAUAAAUUAAUGGGUUGGUUUGCAGCAAAAGACUGUAUACAGUGCUUUACACAGACAUCUUCUCAGGUCUUUCUUUUCUGACUAGCCCUAAGAGCUCCUGCAUCAUUUUCCUUACAAUGUUGGUAUACUGAAUCAGCCUAUGUAUUGAGCUGAGCCGGUUCCUGUGAGAUCUGUGAUGGUAGUUCAGACUUCCAAAUGGUUAUAGUCAGACAACAUUCACAUCUGUACUUUUUUUUCUUUCUUUGUAUUCUCCGGACAACCCUUUGGGGGUAUAGGGGGGGAAGGUUUACUAUGAUACCUAAUUUGAAAGGAAUCGUUUUAGAGUAAGGAUGUAAAGCAAAUUUUGCUUUUAAAAUUGUGAAAUGUUAGAAAUGAAAAUCAGUUUUUGAAGGCUUUUUUUUAGUAAAAUGAGAAAUUACCAUGUGAGCAAUAGAUCAUCCUGUUAUUGUUUGUGGACAAAGCUUUUUGCAUUUGCAAGGAGCUAAAUAAGCAGUGUUUACUGAGUUUACAUUCCUAGUCAUUAACAUGUGGGAAUGUUAAUGUUUGAGUAAGAAAAGUGGUAUUUGACAAAUUAUUCACAGUCUAGGUAAGAGGUACUCAAUUUAUAUUUUAUUAUUGUGAUCUUUUGGUCUGACCUCCUUUAUAACACAGAAGAUGAGACUUAGGUUAAUUAAUUCUUAACUGAAGCACAGCAGAAAGGUGUCAUGUCCUGCUUUAAAAAAUGAAUGUGGUGGAGAUCCCCGCAUAAAAUGCCACAGAGGUUAUUUGUCAUCUUUGUUAGAUUUGUGCUUUAUUUCUAACCUGAGUUACAUUGAUGGUAGUGUUAUGCCAUUGUAUCCGAGUUUAUAAUUGUUUGUUGCAUUGAAGAACCUGUUAUUAAUAGCUUUUUCCUCAUGUCAGUAUUCCAGUCAUUUCACUUUGUAAUAUGUUGUCCUUGACAAAUGGAGCAGAUGCCAGCAUGACUCAGAUUCCCCUAAAUGCCAGAUUAUAAUAUAUUAUUAAUAUGUCUUUUUAUUAUUGCUAUUAUUUUACAUUCUUUGGUAAAACUAUUUUUUUCAGGAAAGAUCCUUACAAUAUUUUGUAAUUGCUUAGUGCAUGAUACAUUUUUGUGUUUAAAAUUUAAGGAAUACUUUGAAAUUCACAACCAGAAUGGUCUUCCUCCAACAUGGCUUUUCCCAGCAGGACCAGUCAGGGUAUUGCAAGGCUUCCUAUGCAGCACUGGUCCAGACAGGGGCUCCUUAAUGCCCCACAUCUCCCAGUAGCCAUCCAGAGAUCGAUACCAUCUCAUGAUAUAUUUGUAUGAGCUUUACUGCUUACCUACAUAACUUUAACUGAGCUAGGUGAGCUAGUCACUUAGGUAAUGCACAAGUGCUUCUACCUCUUCACCUUUCUUUCUUUCAUUUUUUUUGUUUUCUUUUCCUGUAUAUGUUGUUCUGUAAUACCCUCUGUAAUCAUUUCUCUCAAAAAAGAAAUACCUGUACAUACUCUUCUUUUGAAAUAUGUAAUGAGUUUCUUCAAGUGUAUGUGUUACAAGCUGAUGGAAAAAAAAACAUUUUAUG
ensembl:lncRNA